UCUCUACUUUUACAUGGGAUCUCUUCUGACCUCUGUUGGCUGGCAUGGCUUUAUAUAUAAUUUUCAUGUGAGAAAACACCAAGAUGAUCCAACCUAGUUCUUGAGGAUCGAGCUUUCUUGCCGUGGAAUCCGGGGACAGGUCAAAGGAGAAUGCUGAAACACCCUUUCAUUGAAUAUCAAUAAAUAUUAUCAACUAUCGACAUCGUGUCAGCGUGAAUUUUCGAAACCUCAAUUCUUUGUUAUAUAAAAGACACUAUAACUAGCUACUCCUUUCUACUUUGCCAUAUCAGUUAUCACAUAUAUAUUAUAUAGUCUAUAGAGCUUUGGAAUAGGCUAGAUAGGUCCAAUAAUAUUACAAAUAUCCAAUGAGACUAUUGAUGCCUGCUGCUUUGUUUCUAUUUCUGAUGUUUAGCUUCAAUGUGAUAUGUGUUUUUCAAGGGGAAGCACUUAUCAGCGAAGGAGUUGUGGCUUCUGGGAGUUCUGCUACUAUUGCAGGUGGCUGUGAAAAGCAAAGGGGUGAAUGCAAGGAAGAAAGUGGUGAGUCACAAGAAAGUGUUUUCGAGAAUGAAGACUAUGUCUAUACCAACUCCUUGCCUUAGAUGAUGCUCUAGUUUUGCUUCGUCGGUUGUCUUGUGUUAACGUUGUUGAAUCCAUUGCAGCUUUUCUAAAUCCAAAGCUAGCCACAUUGGCGAUUGUAAAGGAUCUAUAACUUUUAUUUAUUGUUUACUGUUUUAUAACAUUAGCUGAUAAUUGAUCGUCCCCAUGAUCACAAAGACACACAAGGAUUAAUCAUGGAAGAAUUCUAAGUGAUGAAGUUGUUUCUUUGACUGUUACACACUUCUUGCAGUUGUGUUGUUUGAUUUGUAAAGCUAAAUCUGUCUUCUCAAUUGGGUCUGGCUCAUCAAAUAGCGAGAAAUGCUUGCAACAUUGUUCAUUAUUAAAUAAAUUUUUUAAGUAUGAGUGUA